AUUGAACGCUGGCGGCAGGCUUAACACAUGCAAGUCGAGCGGGGUGAUGGUGCUUGCACUAUCACUUAGCGGCGGACGGGUGAGUAAUGCUUAGGAAUCUGCCUAUUAGUGGGGGACAACAUCUCGAAAGGGAUGCUAAUACCGCAUACGUCCUACGGGAGAAAGCAGGGGAUCACUUGUGACCUUGCGCUAAUAGAUGAGCCUAAGUCGGAUUAGCUAGUUGGUGGGGUAAAGGCCUACCAAGGCGACGAUCUGUAGCGGGUCUGAGAGGAGGAUCCGCCACACUGGGACUGAGACACGGCCCAGACUCCUACGGGAGGCAGCAGUGGGGAAGAUUGGACAAUGGGGGGAACCCUGAUCCAGCCAUGCCGCGUGUGUGAAGAAGGCCUUAUGGUUGUAAAGCACUUUAAGCGAGGAGGAGGCUCUUUUGGUUAAUACCCAAGAUGAGUGGACGCUACUCGCAGAAUAAGCACCGGCUAACUCUGUGCCAGCCGCCGCGGUAAUAC
rnacentral:rRNA from 1 species